rnacentral:rRNA from 1 species
UACGUAGGGGGCAAGCGUUAUCCGGAUUUAUUGGGUUUAAAGGGUGCGUAGGCGGGUUAUCAAGUCAGCGGUAAAAUCGUGGAGCUCAACUCCAUCCAGCCGUUGAAACUGAUGAUCUUGAGUGGGCGAGAAGUAUGCGGAAUGCGUGGUGUAGCGGUGAAAUGCAUAGAUAUCACGCAGAACUCCGAUUGCGAAGGCAGCAUACCGGCGCCCGACUGACGCUGAAGCACGAAAGCGUGGGUAUCGAACAGG